rnacentral:rRNA from 1 species
GGAUUAGAUACCCUAUUAUUAUAGAUUUAAAACUUAUAAAAUUUGAGUAGUAAUAGUUAUAGUCUUGAAACUUAAAGAAUUUGGCGGUAUUUUAGUCUAUUUAGAGGAAUCUGUCCCGUUAUCGAUAUUCCACGUUGGACCUUACUUAAUUAAUUUAUAUGUAUACCGCCGUAUAUUGAAUCUCUUAUUAGGGUUAAUUUUCUUAAUAUAUAAAUAUAUAAUAUUUCAGGUCAAGGUGCAGUUAAUAAUUAAGUGGUGAUGGAUUACAAUAUAUUUAUAGACGGAUUAAGUAUUGAAAUAAAUUUUUAUGAAGGUGGAUUUAAUAGUAAUUUUAAUAAGAAUAUUAAAAUAAUUAAGGCUCUAGAAUGUGUACACAUCGCCCGUCACUCUCGUUAAAUUAAGGUGAGAUAAGUC